rnacentral:rRNA from 1 species
GACGAACGCUGGCGGCGUGCUUAACACAUGCAAGUCGAGCGGUAAGGCCCUUUCGGGGGUACACGAGCGGCGAACGGGUGAGUAACACGUGGGUGACCUGCCCUCAGCUCUGGGAUAAGCCCGGGAAACUGGGUCUAAUACCGGAUAUGACUCCAUGACGCAUGUUGUGGGGUGGAAAGCCUUGUGCGGCUGAGGAUGGGCCCGCGGCCUAUCAGCUUGUUGGUGGGGUGAUGGCCUACCAAGGCGACGACGGGUAGCCGGCCUGAGGGGGCGACCGGCCACACUGGGACUGAGACACGGCCCAGACUCCUACGGGAGGCAGCAGUGGGGAAUCUUGCGCAAUGGGCGAAAGCCUGACGCAGCGACGCCGCGUGAGGGAUGACGGCCU